GUGAGUCAUCGAGUCUUUGAACGCACCUUGCGCUCCUUGGUAUUCCGAGGAGCAUGCCUGUUUGAGUGUCAUUAAAUUCUCAACUCCGAUCGAUUUGUUUCGACCUCGGAGCUUGGAUUUGGAGUGUGCCGGCGUCAAGUCGGCUCCUCUUGAAUGCAUCAGGCGGAAUCCCAUUCAUUUCGGACGUCAGUGUGAUAAUCAUGUUGCGCUGUCUUUGCGAUCUUGAAAGCCCGCUCACAAUGGUCUUCGGACAAACCUCACAUAUCAUAUUUGACCUCAAAUCAGGUAGGACUACCCGCUGAACUUAAGCAUUUCAAUAAGCGGAGG
rnacentral:rRNA from 1 species